UAUGCACUCUACUGUAAAUCGCUCUGGAUAAGAGUGUCUGCUAAAUGACUAAAA
rfam:Salmo salar isolate Sally breed double haploid chromosome ssa22, whole genome shotgun sequence.